rfam:Schistosoma mattheei strain Denwood, Zambia genome assembly, scaffold: SMTD_scaffold0004347
AUCCAGCUGACGAGUCCCAAAUAGGACAAAACACGCGUCUUGGAU